rfam:Aedes aegypti strain Liverpool supercont1.334 genomic scaffold, whole genome shotgun sequence.
UGCUCUGUAGCUUAGUUGGCAAAGCACUCGUCUAGCAUACAAGAGUCGUGGGUUCGAAUCACACCUGAGCAC